rnacentral:lncRNA from 1 species
UGAUGGUUUUUUUUGGGACCAAGAUGUUUUCUUCAUUCUUGUUCACAUUAUGAUUAUUUUAACCUUCAACAUUGUUCAAUGCACAUUUAAAGAUAGAAAAAAUUUCAGCUUUCAUUUAAAAUAUUUUGCAACUUAAUAAUAAUCUGUCAGAUUUGGUGUAAACAAAAAACAAGACCCUGCAAGCAUAGUCUAUUUCUAUAACAGUCAAGCAGAUAGUUUUUUUAUAUCUAAAAAAAAAACUACCAUGUAAAGAAAUAUGCAAUUAAAAGGCCUAAAAUAACCCCUAAAAUUCAACAUUAACAGAUUUUUAACAAUUAAAUCAAGAUGCACAAAGUUUUAAGUAUUGGUCAGAAUAUAGGGUUCUUUAGUACUUCAACAAUAUCACAAUAACAAUAAAGUGACCUUAAUUUUGGACAAGGUAAAUGGCAUGAAGCCAAAUUUAUCAACCUCUAUUGUAUGAAUGGG